rnacentral:rRNA from 1 species
UACGGGGGGGGCAAGCGUUGUUCGGAAUUACUGGGCGUAAAGGGCGCGUAGGCGGAUGAGCAAGUCUGUGGUGAAAUCCCCCGGCUUAACCGGGGAACUGCCGUGGAUACUGCACAUCUCGAGGAAGAUAGGGGCGUCUGGAACUAGCGGUGGAGCGGUGAAAUGCGUUGAUAUCGCUAGGAACUCCGGUGGCGAAGGCGGGACGCUGGAUCUUUUCUGACGCUGAGGCGCGAAAGCCAGGGGAGCGAACGGG